rnacentral:rRNA from 1 species
AAAUUGAAGAGUUUGAUCAUGGCUCAGAUUGAACGCUGGCGGCAGGCCUAACACAUGCAAGUCGAACGGUAACAGGAAGCAGCUUGCUGCUUUGCUGACGAGUGGCGGACGGGUGAGUAAUGUCUGGGAAACUGCCUGAUGGAGGGGGAUAACUACUGGAAACGGUAGCUAAUACCGCAUAACGUCGCAAGACCAAAGAGGGGGACCUUCGGGCCUCUUGCCAUCGGAUGUGCCCAGAUGGGAUUAGCUAGUAGGUGGGGUAACGGCUCACCUAGGCGACGAUCCCUAGCUGGUCUGAGAGGAUGACCAGCCACACUGGAACUGAGACACGGUCCAGACUCCUACGGGAGGCAGCAGUGGGGA